GGGGUUGUGGCUCAGUGGUAGAGCGCUUCCCUGGCAGGUAAAAGGCCCUGGGUUCAAUCCUCCUCAGCACCA
rnacentral:tRNA from 1 species